GGAAGUGAUCACAUCAACAGAUAGCUGAAGAACAACUUAGGGUUCGGUCUCAGGCUUUAACAACAACUUGUUCUCAGGGAUCCCACAAGAACUACCUCAGUCCCUACUGAGGUCAAUCCCCAUGACUUAAGCAUCUCCCACUGGGCCCUACCUCUUAAUUGAGGUCUUUCAACAUUGAAUCUACCUUCCUCAGCUUCCCAGAGUGCUGGGAUUCCAGGAUGGGGGGGUGAUGCAGUAUCUCUAUGUUGCUCAGGUUGGCUCCGACUCCUGGGUUCAAGUGAUUCUUUCACCUCAGCCUCCCAAGUGCUGGGACUACAC